GCCCGCAGCGCCACCCCCCGUCUGGGGACCCGCGCGGGGUCUGCGGGGCGGGGCCAGCCUCCCCGCCGCCCCUCGGUCCGCUCCCGGCGUCGCCCUCGCCGGCGGACUGCGUGGGGGGCAGGACCCCCGCUUCUCCCCCAGUUCUCUCCAGGCUGACCCUGGGUCCUGGUCAAGCCUCCCGCCUCCAAAUUCAGGAGGGGAAUCCGGCUGUUCUCCUCCCUCACACUAGGAGGCCUCAGGACGCUGGAGGGAGAGGGAGGGGACCUGCGCGGUGGAUCCCAGGGGAGCUGGUUCCAGGGCCCACCGGUGCCUGCCCCCGACCCCCGACCCAUGAGAAGUCCCCGAAUCCUCCAGCUCCACCCAUGCCCGGUGCCGCAGCUCAGAGAGGGUGCUGUGACCCUAAGGGGCAAGAGCAGGGCGGGCGGAGCGGGUCAGAGGGCCAACGCCGGUGGACGGAUGGGUCCGGUGGGAGUGCGCGAAGGACAGGCUGGCAGCCCAGUGCGGGACGCAGGCGGCCCUGAGGACCGCACCUGCCAGAGAGGGUGGCCUCCGGCACUCCAGCGCGCAGGCCCGGGGCUUCUCCGCUUCCUCACCCGGGGCUUCCCUGCCCUCCUGGGUCUGCCUUCUGCCUGUGGAGCCCUCGGGCUUGCUGGUCACCGUGGGGUAGCGGACCAGGGCUUCGAGGGCCUCCGCUGCCACGCUGUGACCAGCUCUGGCCCUGCACCUGGCCCUGAACAGCCUGGCCUCCUUCAGCUCCUCUCUCCGCUGGACUGGCCAGACCGCACCUGCUCUAGGCAGAGCCCAAGGGCCUGCAGAGUGCUGAGCUCAGAGGGGACAGUGCCCCUGGUGCGGGAGCUCGCGUGGGCAAAACAGGCUGGAGGAGCGGCCCUGCCCAUAGGGUCUGGCUUGGCCCCUCCGUGGGGCCUCGAGCUAGUAUCACUCAGAAGAGCAAUAGGGAGAGCUGUGCGGGUGACAGGGGCGCUGCUGGAGGAGUCCUUACGGGGCCCUGGCAAGAUGGUGGAGCAACUGAGGCAGCCUGGGCCUGGAGAGGGCCGGGAGCUGCCGCAGGCUCUGCUCGCCGACCCGGCGCGCGCCCGAG
rnacentral:lncRNA from 1 species